CAGGCGGAAACCGAAAAGCCUUAAAGAGAGUAGGUA
rfam:Aquimarina sp. RZW4-3-2 contig9, whole genome shotgun sequence.